rnacentral:tRNA from 1 species
GGGGGAUUAGCUCAUCUGGGAGAGCGUCUGAUUUGCAUUCAGAAGGUGAGCGGUUCGAGUCCGCUAUCCUCCA